UAGUCCACGCCGUAAACGAUGUUCACUCGCUGUUGGCGAUAUACAGUCAGUGGCUAAGCGAAAGUGAUAAGUGAACCACCUGGGGAGUACGUCGGCAACGAUGAAACUCAAAGGAAUUGACGGGGGCCCGCACAAGCGGUGGAACAUGUGGUUUAAUUCGAUGAUACGCGAGGAACCUUACCUGGACUUAAAUGUAGAUUGCAUAAGCUAGAGAUAGCUUUUUCUUCGGACUAUCUACAAGGUGCUGCAUGGUUGUCGUCAGCUCGUGCUGUGAGGUGUCGGGUUAAGUCCCAUAACGAGCGCAACCCCUAUCGUUAGUUGCUAACAGUUUAAGCUGAGGACUCUGACGAGACUGCCGGUNUAAACCGCGAGGAAGGUGGGGAUGACGUCAAAUCAGCACGGGCCCUUACGUCCAGGGGCUACACACGUGUUACAAUGGCCGGUACAGAGUGGC
rnacentral:rRNA from 1 species